ACUAAAAAUACAAACAAACAAGAAAUUAGCCGAGCGUGGUGGUGGGCACCUGUAGUCCCAG
rnacentral:antisense_RNA from 1 species